UACGGAGGGAGCUAGCGUUGUUCGGAAUUACUGGGCGUAAAGCGCACGUAGGCGGCUAUUCAAGUCGGGGGUGAAAGCCCGGGGCUCAACCCCGGAACUGCCCUCGAAACUAGGUAGCUAGAAUCUUGGAGAGGCGAGUGGAAUUCCGAGUGUAGAGGUGAAAUUCGUAGAUAUUCGGAAGAACACCAGUGGCGAAGGCGGCUUACUGGUCCGGUUCUGACGCUGAGGCGCGAAAGCGUGGGGAGCAAACAGG
rnacentral:rRNA from 1 species